rnacentral:rRNA from 1 species
UACGUAGGGUGCGAGCGUUAAUCGGAAUUACUGGGCGUAAAGCGUGCGCAGGCGGUUUUGUAAGCCAGAUGUGAAAUCCCCGGGCUUAACCUGGGAAUGGCAUUUGGGACUGCAAGGCUCGAGUGUGGCAGAGGGGGGUGGAAUUCCGCGUGUAGCAGUGAAAUGCGUAGAGAUGCGGAGGAACACCGAUGGCGAAGGCAGCCCCCUGGGCUAACACUGACGCUGAGGCACGAAAGCGUGGGGAGCAAACAGG